rnacentral:rRNA from 1 species
GAUGAACGCUGGCGGCGUGCCUAAUACAUGCAAGUCGAACGAGGUGCUUGAGUAGCAAUACAAGAGUAUCCUAGUGGCGAACGGGUGAGUAACGCGUGGGUGACCUGCCCCGAAGUGUGGGAUAACAGUCCGAAAGGAUUGCUAAUACCUCAUGUGGUUAUCGGAUUUAGAAACUGAUAACUAAAGCAGCAAUGCGCUUUGGGAGGGACCUGCGUCCCAUCAGCUAGUUGGUGAGGUAAUGGCUCACCAAGGCUACGACGGGUAGGGGACCUGAGAGGGUGGCCCCCCCACAAUGGAACUGAAACACGGUCCAUACACCUACGGGUGGCAGCAGUAGGGGAAUAUUGCACAAUGGGCGAAAGCCUGAUGCAGCAACGCCGCGUGUGCGAUGAAGGCCUUGGGUCGUAAGCACUUUCUUGAGAGAUGAGAAAGGAC